rnacentral:rRNA from 1 species
AGCAGUCGCCGCGGUAAAACGGAGGGGGCUAGCGUUGUUCGGAAUUACUGGGCGUAAAGCGUGCGUAGGCGGUGAGUUAAGUCUGUUGUGAAAUCCCCGGGCUCAACCUGGGAAUGGCAAUGGAUACUGGCAAGCUAGAGUGUGUCAGAGGAUGGUGGAAUUCCCGGUGUAGCGGUGAAAUGCGUAGAGAUCGGGAGGAACAUCAGUGGCGAAGGCGGCCAUCUGGGACAACACUGACGCUGAGGCACGAAAGCGUGGGGAGCAAACAGGAUUAGAUACCCCUGUAGUCCCUGUCUCUUAUAC